rnacentral:tRNA from 1 species
GGAGGGUUGGCCGAGCGGUUUAUGGCGCAAGUCUUGAAAACUUGUGAGCGCAAGCUCUCACAGGUUCGAAUCCUGUACCCUCCGCCA